rnacentral:tRNA from 1 species
CAUUAAGAAGCUAUAAGUUCAGCGACAACCUUUUAAGUUGUAGAUAGGUGCUUACACCCACCUUAAUGA